rnacentral:lncRNA from 1 species
GACCCAGAUGAGACAAUAGAGGGGGAAGAUGCUAAGUCAGGUGCUGACAUUGCUGUAAGAGAUUGUGUCACUAAGGUAAAGACUGACCCCAACAGAGUCAUUUGACUUUUUCUCUUUAAUGGCAGGCAUUAAGAUUCAUUAUUAUUAUUUCUCACAUUCCUAAUUGUGAAAUAGAUAGUUCUGACUGUUUGGAUGAGCCCCGCUCAAACAGUGUAAAAUGCAGAUAAACACACACUUAACUUUAUAUUCUGUAUUAAUAUUCAAAUUUGUUACAGUGCUUGUUUUUGUCUUUAGGAAUCAUCUCCUGAAGAAGUUGAUUUUCAUGCAAUCAAGUAUGUAACUCAGGACGCUGACACAGGAAGUUGUUUACUCGAGCCUUCUGACUUCUCUGAAAUGCCUGGCAUAGUCAGCAGACCAGUUACUGAAGAGACGAGUUCCUCACUUGCACUAACAUCCCAACAUUCGAAAGAAUUUACAAAUGAUAGUAGUCUGAAGACUGACAGUGCAAAUAUAGCUGAGGAAAAGCAAAAUGAGUGCCCCAAAACCAAGUUGACUGAAGCAGUUCCAGCAAAGCCAGGAAUAUCCUCAGAAACCACCAUGUUAAAAGCAAGUGAUGCCAAUGAAUUGACUAAAGAGUUUGAAUCUGUAGAUCAGAAUGAAGUAUCUGUAAACACAGAAACCGGUACAAGUGAUCAAGUGAAAACAACAAGCCCAAAGCCACGUGACACAGAGACAAUAAAUGUUACUGAUGGUGAUCAGACCCAGACAGAGACUAAACCCAUCGAUGCCACAGCUCCUCUUAUGCUCUCCUCCCAGCAUACAGAAUAUGUGCCACAGGAAGAUACAACAUUGGGAAUACAGAGAGAUGUUAUUGAGGCCAUGGUUCACCAGAGCAGCAGCCAGUCUCAGGAUCACACAGUUAUCAGUGAUCUGUCACAGUCUGAAGGAGGAGGUGAAGAUCAAGUGAGUUUAGUCCAGCUUCUCACCUCAUGUCAGGACGUCAGUUCUUUAGAGAUGAGACGGCAUCUGUUAGAGAUUCCGGAGACUGUGUUAAAUGCCAGUGGAUCACAGAUGGAAGACUCAGCUAAACUCCUCAAGGACCUUUCAAGCAUCAAGGUAUUACCAAUUCACUUGCAAAGUCUACAGAAUAAAGGAAAACUUUUAGGGGGAAAAGCCUCCUCAAUAUGUAAAUGA